GGAUGUGAGGGCAGCCUCGCUGUGACAUCUGUUACCCCUUUGAUCACCAGGUUUGAUUUGGCUGAUCUGGCUGGCUAGGUGGGGGGCCUCUUCCUCCUCACAUCUCCAUGUGUGUCCCCCCCAAAGCUGCACAUUGGGUUGAAAAGGACCACUACCUCUUAUAGGGGUGAACUGGUUCCUUGGCUGUGCUCCCAAGGAAGUGAUUUAGAUAUCCAUUUUUGAAUUGAU
ensembl:misc_RNA 7SK 7SK RNA